UGGUCUGAGAGGAUGGCCAGCCACAUUGGGACUGAGAAACGGCCCAGACUCCUACGGGAGGCAGCAGUGGGGAAUCUUGCGCAAUGGCCUAACGGCUGACGCAGCGACGCCGCGUGAGGGAUGACGCUCUUCGGAGUGUAAACCUCUUUUGCCUGGAACGAACUAUCAGCAUUCGCUGAUUUGACGGUACCGGGUGAAUAAGCACCGGCUAACUCCGUGCCAGCAGCCGCGGUAAUACGGGGGGUGCGAGCGUUGUCCGGAAUCACUGGGCGUAAAGGGCGCGUAGGUGGCAUGAUAAGGGUGUGGUGAAAGCCCGGGGCUCAACCCCGGGUCGGCCAUGCCGACUGUCACGCUAGAGUACUGUAGGGGCAGGCGGAAUUCCGGGUGUAGCGGUGGAAUGCGUAGAGAUCCGGAGGAGGACCGGUGGCGAAGGCGGCCUGCUGGGCAGUUACUGACACUGAUGCGCGACAGCGUGGGGAGCAAACAGGAUUAGAUACCCUGGUAGUCCACGCCGUAAACGAUGGGUACUAGGUGCCUGGGGGAGCGACCCCUUGGGUGCCGGCGCUAACGCAGGAAGCACCCCGCCUGGGGAGUACGGCCGCAAGGCUGAAACUCAAAGGAAUUGACGG
rnacentral:rRNA from 1 species